rnacentral:rRNA from 1 species
UACGAAGGGUGCAAGCGUUACUCGGAAUUACUGGGCGUAAAGGGUGCGUAGGUGGUCGCUUAAGUCCGUUGUGAAAUCCCUGGGCUCAACCUGGGAAUGGCAGUGGAUACUGGACGGCUAGAAUGCGGUAGAGGGUAGUGGAAUUCCCGGUGUAGCAGUGAAAUGCGUAGAGAUCGGGAGGAACAGCAGUGGCGAAGGCGGCUCACUGGUCCGGUACUGACGCUGAGGUGCGAAAGCGUGGGGAGCAAACAGG